rnacentral:rRNA from 1 species
GAUGAACGCUGGCGGCGUGCCUAAUACAUGCAAGUCGAGCGAAUGGAUUAAGAGCUUGCUCUUAUGAAGUUAGCGGCGGACGGGUGAGUAACACGUGGGUAACCUGCCCAUAAGACUGGGAUAACUCCGGGAGACCGGGGCUAAUACCGGAUAACAUUUUGAACCGCAUGGUUCGAAAUUGAAGGGCGGCUUCGGCUGUCACUUAUGGAUGGACCCGCGUCGCAUUAGCUAGUUGGUGAGGUAACGGCUCACCAAGGCAACGAUGCGUAGCCGACCUGAGAGGGUGAUCGGCCACACUGGGACUGAGGCACGGCCCAGACCCCUACGGGAGGCAGCAGUAGGGAAUCUUCCGCAAUGGACGAAAGUCUGACGGAGCAACGCCGCGUGAGUGAUGAAGGCUUUCGGGUCGUAAAACUCUGUUGUUAGGGAAGAACAAGUGCUAGUUGAAUAAGCUGGCACCUUGACGGUACCUAACCAGAAAGCCACGGCUAACUACGUGCCAGCCGCCGCAGUAA